rnacentral:rRNA from 1 species
UACGUAGGGGGCGAGCGUUGUCCGGAUUUACUGGGCGUAAAGGGCAUGCAGGCGGUCGGACGCGUUUUGUGUGACAGCGCAGGGCUCAACCCUGCGAGCAUACGAAAGACGGUUCGACUUGAGGGCUCGAGAGGGACACGGAAUUCCGGGUGGAGUGGUGAAAUGCGUAGAUAUCUGGAGGAAUACCGGUGGCGAAGGCGGCAUCCUGGACCGGCAUUGACGCUGAGGAGCGAAAGCUAGGGGAGCAAACGGG